rnacentral:rRNA from 1 species
AUGCAAACACUAGGCAGCAAGCCAUGUUGCUCAACACCUUUGUUCUACCUCUAUUGCCUACUGCUAGUGUCAUGCCUUCAUCUCUUGGAAGAAGCACAUGCGGCACGCCAUGGAGGGAUCUCACUGAGAUCUCAACGCAUGGCCCUCCUCCACUGGAAAGCUACACUUGUGAGUCCACCGCUGCAGAUGAGCUCCUGGCAGGAAAACAUCAGCCCGUGCAACUGGAUGGGCAUCAUGUGCACGGCCAUUCGCCAUGGCCGCCGCAUGCCUUGGGUGGUGACCAACAUCUCCCUGCCGGAUGCUGACAUCGGUGGCCAGCUUGGUGAGCUCAACUUCUCGGCACUUCCAUUCCUUACAUAUAUUGGCCUUCGGAACAAUAGUCUCCAUGGUGUAGUACCAGCUAGUAUCAGCUCCCUGUCAGCUCUUUCGGAACUUUAUCUUCAAAUCAACCAGCUCACAGGAAAAAUUCCUUAUGACAUUGGUGCCCUGCAAAGUCUCAGGGUGCUUGGUCUCGCACAUAACAAACUCACAGGGAAAAUUCCUUAUGAGAUUGGUGCCCUGCAAAGUCUCAGAUUGCUUGGUCUCUCAUUUAACAGACUCACAGGACAUAUUCCGACAUCUCUGGGUAACCUAACAAUGUUAACUGCUCUUGACAUUAGCCAAAACAAGGUAUCAGGUCCUGUUCCUGAGGAGAUUGGAAGGCUUGUCAGCCUACAAUUUCUACAACUAAGCACCAACACAUUAAGCGGCACAAUACCAAAAACCCUUGGAAAUUUGACCCAACUAAAUACUUUGUUUCUCCAUAGUAACCACCUUUCAGGAACUAUACCCCAAGAACUAGGCAGGCUGGUCCAUUUGCAAAAGCUUGCGCUUCAUGUAAAUGAUUUUUCAGGUCCAAUUCCAAUCUCCAUAACCAAUCUUACUAAGAUGAACACACUUAUUCUCUCCGAUAAUCAAAUCACAGGCCCAAUACCUCCAGAACUAGGCAAUCUCCCUAUGCUAAACCAACUUAUGCUCUACCAAAAUCAAAUCAUAGGCUCAAUACCCACAGAACUAGGCAACCUCACUAUGCUCACUAACCUUGUUUUGUACCAAAACCAAAUCACAGGCCCAAUACCUUCAGAAUUGGGCAAGCUGCUAAAUCUCCAAGCAUUAGAAUUGUCAGUCAACCAAAUAUCUGGCUCUAUUCCUGCCAGCUUAGGAAAUAUGACCAACCUAGUAGCACUAUCCCUCUACCUAAAUCAGAUAAACGGUUCCAUCCCCAAAGAGAUUGGCAACCUGAUGAAACUCAAAACUCUGUGGUUGCAUCUAAACCAAAUUUCAGGACCAAUACCAAAAACUUUUGGGAAGCUGCAAAGAAUCCAUGAUCUAAGAAUCUUCACUAACAAAUUAUCAGGUUCUCUUCCUCAAGAGUUUGGAAACCUCACAAACCUUGUUAAUCUCGUGAUAACAAACAACUCACUUUCAGGACCUUUACCUGCAAAUAUUUGUUCAGGUGGAAAACUUCAAGAUCUCCAUGUUGCAUUGAAUAUGUUCAAUGGCCCCAUUCCAAGGAGUUUAAAGACAUGCGCGAGUUUGGUUACAAUUGACAUUCAGUCGAACCAACUAACAGGUGAUAUAUCUCAGGAUUUUGGUGCGUAUCCAAAUCUCACAUGGAUGAACCUGGCAUCCAAUAGAAUCACUGGUCACAUCUCACCAAAUCUAGGAGCAUCUACCCAGCUACAAGUACUAAAGCUAGCAGAUAAUAUGAUCAUGGGUUCCAUACCUAGUAUCAUUUCCAAAUUGUCCAACCUAGUAGAACUAGGAUUCGAUUCUAAUCAUCUCAGUGGUGAGAUUCCACCUGAAAUCUUUAGUUUAGCAAAUCUAUAUUACCUGAACUUAUCAUCGAACCAGUUAUCUGGAUCCAUACCCACACAUAUAGAAAAGCUAAGCAGUCUAGGACUUCUUGAUAUAUCUUGGAACAGACUGAGUGGAUUAAUACCUGAGGAACUAGGGGCCUGCAUGAAACUAUUGUCCCUAAAGAUCAACAACAACAACUUCAGUGGGUGUUUGCCUGGUGCGAUUGGAAAUUUAGCAGGCCUGCAGAUCCAGGUAGAUGUGAGCAGCAAUAACCUCAGUGGUGUGUUGCCACAACAACUUGGGAAGUUGGAGAUGCUAGAAUUUAUGAAUUUAUCCCAUAAUCAGUUUGGUGGCAGCAUUCCAUCGUCCUUUGCAAGCAUGGUGAGGCUUUCAACACUUGAUGUGUCCUACAACAACUUGGAAGGACUGUUUGACUCCAUUUUUUUCAUCAUGCAAGGCAAAUAUAUAUAUUUAAUAAUUAUCUGGUCUAGUCACGUUAAUGCAUAUUCACUUGUACGGGUCAAAUUGUUUAUUGGAUCAGCCAGUUUGCCAAUAGAAUAA